rnacentral:lncRNA from 1 species
UGGAAUUUCAGAGGAAGAAGCAAGAAGGCGCUGAUUGCUUAAUUGGCUUUUGUGCACUUCUGAGGCAUUCUGGCAGUGAAAAACAUCUGGGAGAAGCCUUAGUUUUAUAUUCCAUUCCUUGCAAACUAAAAAUGUUUUUAAUUUGUAGAAACUCAAGUUUUAGUUUAAGAAAUAAGUUAAAAUAAUACAUUUAAUCAAAGUAGGUAAUCUCUGGUAAGUUGUUGCUGUUGUUGUUGUUGUCGUUGUUGUUGUUGUUUUUAGCUCAUGGGGCUAAUUAUGUGUUGGUUAGAUUUUUCCAACGUGUUCUCUCACAUUGCCUCCAUAUGCAGAGGUCACAAAAUAGAUGUUCCUCUGACUGGUAAAACUAGCAUGCUCUAGAUUUUUUUUUUUCAAUUCUUAUAACAACUGCUCUGGAAAAUGUGAAGCCUAGGAGGAAUAAAAAAAUCUAAGUUCCUUAGACUCCCUCAGUUAUCCCGAGCGGCUGUACCUUCUCCAAAAUUGAUGAACAGAACUUUAUGCACUUCAAAUAAUGUAUUGGCAUCCCUUAGAACAUAACCUUUUGUAAAAUGAUGGAAGCAUUGUGUUUCAUGCUAUUUAAGAAGUAAAGAGAAAGGGAGAGAAGACGACACAGAGACACAAAGACAGGCGAAGAGUGAAGGAGGGAAAGCAGAAAGGUAGGGGUGUGUGAUGACCUUGAACUUUAAAAACCUGACCACUUCAAAGACUACAGGAAAUGAUCCAGCAUCACAGAGAGUAAACAUGACGUGAGAGGAUUAGAUUAAGGUAAAAAGUUUAAACAGUAUAUCUAUAUACAUGUGUAUAUAGAUACCCCCAUAACAUGGCAUGGGGUAAACACUGGUAUAAAAGAAAUAGAAGUAUCAAUAAGAAAAGCAUAGAGAAAGAUCUGAAUUUGAACUGGGUGAUUGAAGUAUACAGGGCACAAUGUAGUAUCUAGGGUAAAAGCAAGUGGGGUCCUACCAUGUAAGCAGUCUGAAAACCGAUCUAAAGAAGCUGAUUUUAAUGCACAUAAAGAAUAGCAGAAAGCCAACAGUGGGGUUGAGGCCUGGCUUGGUAACCAUUUCCGGGAAGCUAGCUACCCUGCUCACACUCCCUUGCUGAAGUGACUUGCUUCACUUUCACAGCUGUCUGAAGGUGCUCGGUGGUAGCCAAGAGUACCAAUGGUCCAGACCGUCCAACGAAGCCCUGAUGAAGCUCUGACCACAGGAGCAGACUAAGAGUCUCCUGGCCAUCCACUCUAGUCUUUUAGGUAGACUUACACUUGGAUCAACAACAACCCUCACCUGAGGAGAGCCUUAUACAUUUUGCUUGUAGGGUGACUGUUCAGAAGUCUAACAUUGUGACUCCUGUUUGGUGUCCUAAGAACAACUUCUGAAGUGUCUGGAAAGGAGAACUCUGCCAACUGAGAACACCCAACUGUGCUAACUGAGAGGUGGCUCAAAACAAACAAAUUCUGAAAUCAAGCUUCCCAAAUGCAUCUUACCCCACCUUUUGAUUGCUUAAAAUCCCCUCAUUAAGAAGUCUCCCAUUCAUUUGUUUGAUUAAAAGUUUUUCCAUUUAAGCUCUUUCUUGUGAUGAAUUCUUCUAGUUGCAAAAUGAAAACCAGCCUUU